rnacentral:rRNA from 1 species
GACGAACGAGGGAGGAGGGGGGAACACAUGCAAGUCGAGCGCUGAAGGUUGGUACUUGUACCGACUGGAUGAGCAGCGAACGGGUGAGUAACGCGUGGGGAAUCUGCCUUUGAUCGGGGGACAACAUUUGGAAACGAAUGCUAAUACCGCAUAAAAACUUUAAACACAAGUUUUAAGUUUGAAAGAUGCAAUUUCAUCACUCAAUGAUGAUCCCGCGUUUUGUUAGCUAGUUGGUGAGGUAAAGGCUCACCAAGGUGGUGAUACAUAGCCUACCUGAGAGGGUGGUCGGCCAGCGUGGGACUGAGACACGGCACAAUCACCUACAGGAGGCAGCAAGAGGGCAUCUUCGGCAAUGGGCGGAAGUCUGACCGAACGACGCCGCGUGAGGGGAGAAGGAUGUCGGGUCGGAAAAGUCGGUUGGUAGAGAAGAACGUUGGUGAGAGUGGAAAGCUCAUCAAGUGACGGUAACUAGCAAGGAAGAAUCGGCUUUCUACGUU